UGGGAUUUGGGGGUGGACUCUGAUCUCAACACUGGCAUUGGUCAAGGCCAACACUGAGACCAUUGUCUUCUGUUCCACUCCUUCUAGUUGGACCAGUCCCAGACUCCUGUGACUGCCUGGACAACAGAAAUUUUGGCUGGGGUGUUUGGUACUUCUGGGAAGAAGAGGGGACAGCAGGAGAGAAAACUGUUGAAAACCUAAUUGCAACAGACAUUUCACCUAACACACCUGAGGCAAUUGAUAGACUCUUCAUGGAUAUAGGAAAUAUCAACAGAGGGUCUAUGGCUGAAAUACAGGAUUGUCAGAUUGAAGAAAUGGCGGUAAACCUGUGGAACUGGGCAAUUACCAAUAAAAUGGAUUUGGUGAUAAAUGAAGAACAGAAAGCUAAAGGUAUGUAUACGUUUUGUAACUCAUACUAUGAGGAAUAUUCUUAUUGUACAUCAGAUUGUGUUCCUGUAAUUUAAAUAUUUUGAUCAGUUCUUAAGUGCAUAUUUAUUG
rnacentral:lncRNA from 1 species